GUUUGAUCCUGGCUCAGGAUGAACGCUGGCGGCGUGCCUAACACAUGCAAGUCGAACGGGAAUCUUCGGAUUCUAGUGGCGGACGGGUGAGUAACGCGUAAGAAUCUAACUUCAGGACGGGGACAACAGUUGGAAACGACUGCUAAUACCCGAUGUGCCGCAAGGUGAAACCUAAUUGGCCUGAAGAAGAGCUUGCGUCUGAUUAGCUAGUUGGUGGGGUAAAGGCCUACCAAGGCGACGAUCAGUAGCUGGUCUGAGAGGAUGAGCAGCCACACUGGGACUGAGACACGGCCCGACUCCUACGGGAGGCAGCAGUGGGGAAUUUUCCGCAAUGGGCGAAAGCCUGACGGAGCAACGCCGCGUGAGGGAGGAAGGUCUUUGGAUU
rnacentral:rRNA from 1 species